CCUACGGGAGGCAGCAGUGGGGAAUAUUGCACAAUGGGGGAAACCCUGAUGCAGCGACGCCGCGUGAGUGAAGAAGUAUUUCGGUAUGUAAAGCUCUAUCAGCAGGGAAGAAGAAAGACGGUACCUGACCAAGAAGCCCCGGCCAACUACGUGCCAGCGGCCGCGGUAAGAUGCAGGGGGCAAGCGUUAUCCGGAUUUACUGGGUGGAAAGGGAUCGUAGACGGUUGUGCAAGUCUGAAGGGAAAGCCCAGGGCUCAACCCUGGGACUGCUUUGGAAACUGUGGGGCUAGAGUGCUGGAGAGGUAAGUGGAAUUCCUAGUGUAGCGGUGAAAUGCGUAGAUAUUAGGAGGAACACCAGUGGCGAAGGCGGCUUACUGGACAGUAACUGACGUUGAGGCUCGAAAGCGUGGGGAGCAAACAGGAUUAGAUACCCCUGUAGUC
rnacentral:rRNA from 1 species